rnacentral:rRNA from 1 species
CGUGGGGAACCUGCCCCAUAGUCUGGGAUACCACUUGGAAACAGGUGCUAAUACCGGAUAAGAAAGCAGAUCGCAUGAUCAGCUUUUAAAAGGCGGCGUAAGCUGUCGCUAUGGGAUGGCCCCGCGGUGCAUUAGUUAGUUGGUAGGUAAAGGCUUACCAAGGCGAUGAUGCAUAGCCGAGUUGAGAGACUGAUCGGCCACAUUGGGACUGAGACACGGCCCAAACUCCUACGGGAGGCAGCAGCA